UACGUAGGGGGCAAGCGUUGUCCGGAAUCAUUGGGCGUAAAGAGCGUGUAGGCGGCUCGAUAAGUCUGCUGUGAAAGUCCAGGGCUCAACCUUUGAACGCCGAUGGAUACUGCCGGGCUAGAGUCCGGAAGAGGCGAGUGGAAUUCCUGGUGUAGCGGUGGAAUGCGCAGAUAUCAGGAGGAACACCAAUAGCGAAGGCAGCUCGCUGGGACGGUACUGACGCUGGGGCGCGAAAGCGUGGGGAGCGAACAGG
rnacentral:rRNA from 1 species